GCCCAAGUUUAUGUGAUGAUUUGCAUCCCUGCUCUUCCUCCAUCAGAGAAAUACAAAUGAAGACUGCUUUGAGAUUCCAUGUGACCCAGUGAGACUAACCAUCAUCAAGAAGACCAACAUCAACAAAUGCUGGCAGCUUUCGUAUUCCAGCUGCAGACAAGAUAUUUACAGAGUCAGGGCAUCAUUAUGCCCCAAGUUGUUAUUGGGAUCGCAGCAAAUGUUGUCAACGUGGACAUGAAUACCCUCUUGCUGUGUGCCUU